GACGGAGGGUGCAAGCGUUGUUCGGAAUUACUGGGCGUAAAGGGCGCGUAGGCGGUUUGCUAAGUUCGGUGUGAAAGCCCCUGGCUCAACUGGGGAACGGCGCUGGAAACUGGCAGACUAGAGUACCGGAGAGGAGGGUGGAAUUCCGUGGUGUAGCGGUGAAAUGCGUUAGAUAGUCAGGAGGAACACCGGUGGCGGAAGGCGGCCCUCUGGACGGAUACUGACGCUGGAGGCGACGAAAGCGUGGGGAUCAAACAGG
rnacentral:rRNA from 1 species